rnacentral:rRNA from 1 species
AGAGUUUGAUCCUGGCUCAGGAUGAACGCUGGCGGCGUGCCUAAUACAUGCAAGUCGAACGAGUUCUCGUUGAUGAUCGGUGCUUGCACCGAGAUUCAACAUGGAACGAGUGGCGGACGGGUGAGUAACACGUGGGUAACCUGCCCUUAAGUGGGGGAUAACAUUUGGAAACAGAUGCUAAUACCGCAUAGAUCCAAGAACCGCAUGGUUCUUGGCUGAAAGAUGGCGUAAGCUAUCGCUUUUGGAUGGACCCGCGGCGUAUUAGCUAGUUGGUGAGGUAAUGGCUCACCAAGGCGAUGAUACGUAGCCGAACUGAGAGGUUGAUCGGCCACAUUGGGACUGAGACACGGCCCAAACUCCUACGGGAGGCAGCAGUAGGGAAUCUUCCACAAUGGACGCAAGUCUGAUGGAGCAACGCCGCGUGAGUGAAGAAGGCUUUCGGGUCGUAAAACUCUGUUGUUGGAGAAGAAUGGUCGGCAGAGUAACUGUUGUCGGCGUGACGGUAUCCAACCAGAAAGCCACGGCUAACUACGUGCCAGCAGCCGCGGUAAUACGUAGGUGGCAAGCGUUAUCCGGAUUUAUUGGGCGUAAAGCGAGCGCAGGCGGUUUUUUAAGUCUGAUGUGAAAGCCCUCGGCUUAACCGAGGAAGCGCAUCGGAAACUGGGAAACUUGAGUGCAGAAGAGGACAGUGGAACUCCAUGUGUAGCGGUGAAAUGCGUAGAUAUAUGGAAGAACACCAGUGGCGAAGGCGGCUGUCUGGUCUGUAACUGACGCUGAGGCUCGAAAGCAUGGGUAGCGAACAGGAUUAGAUACCCUGGUAGUCCAUGCCGUAAACGAUGAAUGCUAGGUGUUGGAGGGUUUCCGCCCUUCAGUGCCGCAGCUAACGCAUUAAGCAUUCCGCCUGGGGAGUACGACCGCAAGGUUGAAACUCAAAGGAAUUGACGGGGGCCCGCAC